UGCGGCUGUGGGUGGUGCAAAUAACCAAUGCCCUCGCCUUUUACUAGGGCAUUCCGUGUCCCACCCUCGCAUUCAAGCCGCUAUACGAAUUUUUCAGCAAAAAGCUCUGUUCUGAGCAUG
rnacentral:snRNA from 1 species